rnacentral:rRNA from 1 species
GACGAACGCUGGCGGCGUGCUUAACACAUGCAAGUCGAACGGAAAGGCCCUGCUUUUGUGGGGUGCUCGAGUGGCGAACGGGUGAGUAACACGUGAGUAACCUGCCCUUGACUUUGGGAUAACUUCAGGAAACUGGGGCUAAUACCGGAUAGGAGCCCCUGCUGCAUGGUGGGGGUUGGAAAGUUUCGGCGGUUGGGGAUGGACUCGCGGCUUAUCAGCUUGUUGGUGGGGUAGUGGCUUACCAAGGCUUUGACGGGUAGACGGCCUGAGAGGGUGACCGGCCACAUUAGGACUGAGAUACGGCCCAGACUCCUACGGGAGGCAGCGGUGGGGAAUAUUACACAAUGGGAGGAAGCCUGAUGCAGCAACGCCGCGUGCGGGAUGACGGCCUGCGGGUUGUAAACCGCUUUCGCCUGUGACGAAGCGUGAGUGACGGUAAUGGGUAAAGAAGCACCGGCUAACUACGUG